ACCGCACACAGUCACAAUCUGACCGUUCCAGACAUACUUGAGCUUUUGAUGGAGAGUCGACGAGACUGCCCCUGCUGCAUGAAUCCAUGGACGCCCCAAUAAACAACUAUAGGCGGGCUGGAUGUCCAUAACAUAGAAGAUGAUAUCGAAUACCUCAGGACCUAUCUUCACAGGCAAGGUAACUUCCCCACACACAGAACGCUUGGAUCCGUCGAAAGCACGAACGAUCAGGUCACUGGGAUUAAGCACAAACCCUUCCGCAUCAAUCUUCCUCAGAAUCUGCUUAGGCAACACAUUCAACGAC
rnacentral:lncRNA from 1 species